CUUACCAUGCAGUCGAACGGCAGCACGGGUGCUUGCACCUGGUGGCGAGUGGCGAACGGGUGAGUAAUACAUCGGAACAUGUCCUGUAGUGGGGGAUAGGCCGGCGAAAGCCGGAUUAAUACCGCGUACGAUCUACGGAUGAAAGCGGGGGACCUUCGGGCCUCGCGCUAUAGGGUUGGCCGAUGGCUGAUUAUCUAGUUGGUGGGGUAAAGGCCUACCGAGGCGACGAUCAGUAGCUGGUCUGAGAGGACGACCAGCCACGCUGGGACUGAGACACGGCCCAUACUCCUACGGGAGGCAGCGGUGGGGAAUUUUGGACAAUGGGCGAAAGCCUGAUCCAACAAUGCCGCGUGUGUGAAGAACGCCUUCGGGUUGUAAAGCACUUUUGUCCGGAAAGAAAUCCUUGGCUCUAAUACAGUCGGGGGAUGACGGUACCGGAAGAAUAAGCACCGGCUAACUACGUGCCAGCAGCCGCGGUAAUACGUAGGGUGCGAGCGUUAAUCGGAAUUACUGGGCGUAAAGCGUGCGCAGGCGGUUUGCUAAGACCGAUGUGAAAUCCCCGGGCUCAACCUGGGAACUGCAUUGGUGACUGGCAGGCUAGAGUAUGGCAGAGGGGGGUAGAAUUCCACGUGUAACAGUGAAAUGCGUAGAGAUGUGGAGGAAUACCGAUGGCGAACGCAGCCCCCUGGGCCAAUACUGACGCUC
rnacentral:rRNA from 1 species